rnacentral:lncRNA from 1 species
AUGGCUUCUCGUCCUCGUCGAUUCUUGCAACAACCAAAAUGGCUUCUCGAUUUCUAACCAAUUCUUGGAUGGGCUUCACAUAUCGAUCGAGAGAAUUCCAACUGCAAUUUCUCUGCAAAAUCAUUCAAAUUUUCACUUCGCAGUCACUGUGGCAAACAAAUUCAACCCAAAUUCGCGGCAUGAAUCGACACAAAAAGAUCAAAAAAAAGGGAAGAACACAAGGAAUCUUUGCAAGGGAAAGCACCCAACAAAAAAAACAGUACGAACCAAAUGCAAAAUUUCUCGCGCAAACUACGCACUUAUCCCUCAAAACCAACACAAUUCACACAACCCGCGAAACCAAAUCACCACAUAAAACAAACUCCAAUUCGAACCCCAAAAAUAAAAUUUUAAAACAGAAAAAAAAAACCCGACCACAUAUUCCACCAAGAACAAAGAACCCUAAAAAACCACCAAGAAUGCAAGACUAACUCCAAACAUUUCAAAAGCUCCACCCAACAAAGAAACUAAUCCCUCACCUUGGCCAGGACAAGAACUGCCCAAGAACCCAAAACUUCAUCAAGAAUGGAGCUCUCUCUCCCCUCUCUCACACAGAGCUCCAACAAAAAAUCUUCUUGCAAGAACUGAGACAACAAUGAUAGAAACUGGAAAGAGAGGAGAGAAAAAGGGAAGAGAAGAGAAGAGAGAGCAGCAGGUUGAUUACUGCUACUGGUAGUAAAGCAAAGCAGAAGAACAGAGACGAAACCUACACUUUACUAUUUAAGCAGGCAGACGAAGAAGAAGC